CGAAACAUCACACCGAGAAUACAGGAAUAAUGGCAUAUGUUAUAUGCCGACUGCGUGGCGAAGGAUGCUGUGAUACUUUCUAGGGACUUUCAAACAAGAUACAAUUAUUCAAAAUCCAAGCCAGUAGAACAGAGAGGCAGCAAAAAUGAAGAAACAUUAUAUAUAAGUGUCCCUGAGACUGCAAUAUCAUCUCACCUCUCCGUAUAGCUCAACACCUGGCUUCCAUAGAUGUUUCAGUCCCAGUCCUUGCACAUCGUAGAUCAUCACCACCUCUUCAACCCGCUUUCCCAGCUGUAAGAACAAAACCAUCUCUAACACACAUCACUUAUGCAAACUACAGAAGGUGCCACUGGAACCCAUGUCCUAAUUGCGUAGCUAAUUGUGCUUGAACAUAAAGGAACAACGUUUUAUUAUUGCACUACUGCUUGCAUAUAACUGUGUGUUUAACCCUUGUAAAAUUGAUUAAACACAUAGUUAAAGUCAGCUCCAGAGCAGCAAUGGAGUACUGGGAGCUAGCCGAAGACAUCUGCAGAGCUAAUCACAAGAGACAUAUGUGUGUAGCCACCAAUAACCAUAUCUCUUAAAAUUGCAGUGUUUAAUAUACCUUUAAGGUAAAUUUUUGUCUUUGUUGUAUUUAAAAUUAUGGUAUUUGAAAAUGUAUUACAGUUUUGUUUCUUUAUAAAUUGCCCUAUGCUAUUUAA